AGACACUCUACGACUCUACAACUCAACUUCUUCAAUAAAAACGUGUAAACGAGGUCACGUGUGUGGUGGAGGAAUCCCCGUCGCUGUACUAAGGGUCUGUUAUGUUCAGAGCAGAACAGCUAUUCCAUCGAUAUACAUGAGAGCUGACAUACUUCACUACAUUCUGCUGGUUAAUUAGCAAGCUAGCGGCUCCCUGGUGGCUCAGCUGUCUAAGGUUUCACCCUGGUCCAAUGUGCCACAUCGCUGGAAGACCAACAGCUUAAUUGGUCCUGCUCUCUGGGUGAAAAGAAAAGAAAGAAGAGAGAUUGGCUGAUCUUAAUAAAGUUGGAACUGGGAUGAGUUUGGAUGGAGGGAGGAAGUGAUCAAGCGAGGAUGAUUGUGCAUACUUCUGAAUUUCAGCCUGUGAUGAAGAAAAACCAAAGAUGUCAUUGGCAUUUCGUUGUCAAAUAAAGACGUGGCCGUUAUAUGAACAGUGAAGUGGUAGUUCAGUGGUUAAUACGUUGUUCUUCUGAGAGGUUAUGAGCCAAGUGUAAAUAUAAUGUUCCUCACUUAAUUGAAAUAAAAGACUCGA